rnacentral:rRNA from 1 species
UACGAAGGGGGGCUAGCGUUGUUCGGAUUUACUGGGCGUAAAGCGCACGUAGGCGGAUCGUUAAGUCGGGGGUGAAAUCUUGGAGCUCAACUCCAGAACUGCCUUCGAUACUGGCGAUCUUGAGUCCGGAAGAGGUGAGUGGAACUCCUAGUGUAGAGGUGGAAUUCGUAGAUAUUAGGAAGAACACCAGUGGCGAAGGCGGCUCACUGGUCCGGUACUGACGCUGAGGUGCGAAAGCGUGGGGAGCAAACAGG